rnacentral:snoRNA from 14 species
UGCGCAGAUGAUGACAAGAUAGACAGGGACUCAGCACUCCGAAGGGAGAAUGUUGAUUUGUCUAAUGGGAAAAUCUCUGAUGCGUU